GCCUAGGGAUCUGCCCAGUCGAGGGGGAUAACAGUUGGAAACGACUGCUAAUACCGCAUACGCCCCACGGGGUAAAGAGGGCCUCUUCUUGAAAGCUCUUGCAUUUAGAUGAGCCUGCGUCGGAUUAGCUUGUUGGCGGGGUAAUGGCCCACCAAGGCGACGAUCCGUAGCUGGUCUGAGAGGAUGAUCAGCCACACUGGGACUGAGACACGGCCCAGACUCCUACGGGAGGCAGCAGUGGGGAAUAUUGGACAAUGGGCGCAAGCCUGAUCCAGCAAUACCUCGUGUGUGAAGAAGGCC
rnacentral:rRNA from 1 species